rnacentral:rRNA from 1 species
GCUAAUACCGCAUAAUGCCUACGGGCCAAAGAGGGGGACCUUCGGGCCUCUCGCGUCAAGAUAUGCCUAGGUGGGAUUAGCUAGUUGGUGAGGUAAUGGCUCACCAAGGCGACGAUCCCUAGCUGGUCUGAGAGGAUGAUCAGCCACACUGGAACUGAGACACGGUCCAGACUCCUACGGGAGGCAGCAGUGGGGAAUAUUGCACAAUGGGCGCAAGCCUGAUGCAGCCAUGCCGCGUGUAUGAAGAAGGCCUUCGGGUUGUAAAGUACUUUCAGCAGUGAGGAAGGGGGUGUCGUUAAUAGCGGCACCUCUUGACGUUAGCUGCAGAAGAAGCACCGGCUAACUCCGUGCCAGCAGCCGCGGUAAUACGGAGGGUGCGAGCGUUAAUCGGAAUUACUGGGCGUAAAGCGCAUGCAGGUGGUUUGUUAAGUCAGAUGUGAAAGCCCGGGGCUCAACCUCGGAACUGCAUUUGAAACUGGCAAACUAGAGUACUGUAGAGGGGGGUAGAAUUUCAGGUGUAGCGGUGAAAUGCGUAGAGAUCUGAAGGAAUACCAGUGGCGAAGGCGGCCCCCCUGGA